CGCGUAGGUGGUAGUGAAAGUCCAUGGUGGAAUCUUAGGGCUUAACCCUAAAACUGCCUUGGAAACUUCAUUACUUGAGUCAGUGAGGGGAGGGUAGAAUUCCUGGUGUAGCGGUGAAAUGCGUAGAUAUCAGGAGGAAGGCCGGUGGCGAAGGCGGCCCUCUGGCGCUGAACUGACGCUGAGGCGCGAAAGCGUGGGUAGCAAACAGGAUUAGAUACCCUGGUAGUCCACGCCCUAAACGGUGGGUACUAGGUGUAGGGCUCGUAAGGGUUCUGUGCCGAAGGGAAACCAUUAAGUACCCCGCCUGGGGAGUACGGCCGCAAGGUUGAA
rnacentral:rRNA from 1 species